rnacentral:misc_RNA from 1 species
GAGAAACCAAGCACAAAAUCGUAAUCUAGAUAAUCUUUUCAAGUUCAACCAUUACCUUCAGCCUCAAAUCAAACUUCACAUAGUUAGAGUUCAGUAAAAUUCUCAUUCAUCACCAAGAAACAAGAAAAUUUCAACAGCAUAUUUUAACAGUGAGUCUCACUUGACAAAUUUUUCUCGCAAAACCAAGUUAAGCCAAGUUAUGAA